rnacentral:ncRNA from 2 species
ACCUAACUGAAAAUGCUAAAAUGAAUUAGCGUUACAAGUGGGCUCUGACCGGUAAGCGGUCAUGGCGAAAUGGGAUGAACCAUACGUCUGAAUAGGUGCCGAAAUGUACUAUCACUGAUACCAUAAAGGGAGUCCAUGUAUUUAGACAGCAGGUCGGUGCCCCUAAAAGCAGGUAUCCGCUAAAGAGUGUGUUAAAACUCACCUGCCGAAUACUAGGGCCCCGAAAAUGAAUGGCGCAUAUAGUACUACCGAUCUCAGACAUCAGUUCUAUUGAACUGAGAGUAGGGGGAUGUGGACAUUUUUGUGAAGGUGCAAUGUGAGUUGGACUGGAAGAAUGUCUAUUACAGAUCCUAAUUGAAGUAGCGAUUAUCCAGGCUUGUAUCCUGGGGGCUGAUGAGGAGUAGGGUUUCUGGACAACUUAAACAGAUCCAGAGUUAGUCGAUCCUAAUCUCAAUAAUGGGAGAAAGGGAGUACAGUUGAUAUUCUGUAACUGACAACAGUUCGCGGCAACGCAUACUAUUUUUCUCCGCCAAUCUUAUACCGUUGGUAGGGAUCUCUUUCCUACAUGACAGUACUAAUACCCAGGGAAACUGGUCAUCAGGCGAACUGCGGCGUUCUGCUGGCAAAACAUAGCUUCGGUUAUGUCAAUGGCUAUUGGAUUGGUCCAUGAAGCGAAAAAUAGUUUACUGUGUCACUCGUACCGAUAACCGCAUCAGGUCUUCUAGGUAAGUAGCCUAUGGCCAUUGAGGCAUGAUAGUUCAGGGAAUUCGGCCAAUUAGAGCUGUAACUUCGGGAUAAAGCUUGGCUCUGAUGAAAAUCAGAACCGAUUGUUACGCGGAGAGCCCAACUGUUUAAUAAAAACGUAGUGUCGCGCUGUGGUAGUAUAGCCAGUGAACGCGACAUGAAUCCUGCUCAGUGCUGUGUCUGUUAAUAUGGUUCAAGCCAACGAAGCACCGGUAAAUAGCUGGGGUAACUAUGACUCUUAUCAAAGUAGCGAAAUACCUCGUCACUUAAUUAGUGACCUGCAUGAACGGAGCUA